rnacentral:rRNA from 1 species
AUCCUGUCUGAAUAUGGGGGGACCAUCCUCCAAGGCUAAAUACUACUGACUGACCGAUAGUGAACCAGUACCGUGAGGGAAAGGCGAAAAGAACCCCUGUGAGGGGAGUGAAAUAGAACCUGAAACCGUGUACGUACAAGCAGUAGGAGCAGGCUUUGUCCUGUGACUGCGUACCUUUUGUAUAAUGGGUCAGCGACUUAUAUUCAGUGGCAAGGUUAACCAUCUAGGGGAGCCGUAGGGAAACCGAGUCUUAACUGGGCGUUCAGUCUCUGGAUAUAGACCCGAAACCAGGUGAUCUAGCCAUGGGCAGGUUGAAGGUUGAGUAACAUCAACUGGAGGACCGAACCGACUAAUGUUGAAAAAUUAGCGGAUGACUUGUGGCUAGGGGUGAAAGGCCAAUCAAACCUGGAGAUAGCUGGUUCUCCCCGAAAGCUAUUUAGGUAGCGCCUCGGACGAAUACUACUGGGGGUAGAGCACUGUUAAGGCUAGGGGGUCAUCCCGACUUACCAACCCUUUGCAAACUCCGAAUACCAGUAAGUACUAUCCGGGAGACACACGGCGGGUGCUAACGUCCGUCGUGGAGAGGGAAACAACCCAGACCGCCAGCUAAGGUCCCAAAUUACUACUAAGUGGGAAACGAUGUGGGAAGGCUCAGACAGCCAGGAUGUUGGCUUAGAAGCAGCCAUCAUU